rnacentral:rRNA from 1 species
GAUGAACGCUGGCGGCGUGCCUAAUACAUGCAAGUCGAGCGAACAGACGAGGAGCUUGCUCCUCUGACGUUAGCGGCGGACGGGUGAGUAACACGUGGAUAACCUACCUAUAAGACUGGGAUAACUUCGGGAAACCGGAGCUAAUACCGGAUAAUAUAUUGAACCGCAUGGUUCAAUAGUGAAAGACGGUUUUGCUGUCACUUAUAGAUGGAUCCGCGCCGCAUUAGCUAGUUGGUAAGGUAACGGCUUACCAAGGCGACGAUGCGUAGCCGACCUGAGAGGGGGAUCGGCCACACGGGAACUGAGACACGGUCCAGACUCCUACGGGAGGCAGCAGUAGGGAAUCUUCCGCAAUGGGCGAAAGCCUGACGGAGCAACGCCGCGUGAGUGAUGAAGGUCUUCGGAUCGUAAAACUCUGUUAUUAGGGAAGAACAAAUGUGUAAGUAACUAUGCACGCCUUGACGGUACCUAAUCAGAAAGCCACGGCUAACUACGUG